AUUGAACGCUGGCGGCAGGCCUAACACAUGCAAGUCGAGCGGGGUUUUCGGACCUAGCGGCGGACGGGUGAGUAAUGCGUAGGAAGCUACCCGAUAGAGGGGGAUACCAGUUGGAAACGACUGUUAAUACCGCAUAAUGUCUACGGACCAAAGUGUGGGACCUUCGGGCCACAUGCUAUCGGAUGCGCCUACGUGGGAUUAGCUAGUUGGUGGAGGUAAUGGCUCACCAAGGCGACGAUCCCUAGCUGGUUUGAGAGGAUGAUCAGCCACACUGGAACUGGGGCACGGUCCAGACUCCUACGGGAGGCAGGAGUGGGGAAAAUUGGACAAUGGGCGAAAGCCUGAUCCAGCCAUGCCGCGUGUGUGAAGAAGGCCUUCGGGUUGUAAAGCACUUUCAGUAGGGAGGAAGCGUUGUGUGUUAAUAGUACACAGCGUUGACGUUACCUACAGAAGAAGCACCGGCUAACUCUGUGCCAGCCGCCGCCGUAACAC
rnacentral:rRNA from 1 species